rnacentral:rRNA from 1 species
GACGAACGCUGGCGGCGUGCCUAAUACAUGCAAGUCGAACGCUUCUUUCCUCCCGAGUGCUUGCACUCAAUUGGAAAGAGGGGUGGCGGACGGGUGAGUAACACGUGGGUAACCUACCCAUCAGAGGGGGAUAACACUUGGAAACAGGUGCUAAUACCGCAUAACAGUUUAUGCCGCAUGGCAUAAGAGUGAAAGGCGCUUUCGGGUGUCGCUGAUGGAUGGACCCGCGGUGCAUUAGCUAGUUGGUGAGGUAACGGCUCACCAAGGCCACGAUGCAUAGCCGACCUGAGAGGGUGAUCGGCCACACUGGGACUGAGACACGGCCCAGACUCCUACGGGAGGCAGCAGUAGGGAAUCUUCGGCAAUGGACGAAAGUCUGACCGAGCAACGCCGCGUGAGUGAAGAAGGUUUUCGGAUCGUAAAACUCUGUUGUUAGAGAAGAACAAGGACGUUAGUAACUGAACGUCCCCUGACGGUAUCUAACCAGAAAGCCACGGCUAACUACGUG